rnacentral:lncRNA from 1 species
UAUAAACUACAGCUAUAUACACAUACAACGUAUUUAGUCACAAAGACUAUUAAUACAGUUUCUCAAUGUUGUUUGUCAGCAGCCAUAUCUGAACUGGAUUCGCCUAUCUUUCUAUCCAGUCAGACGUUGAGUGAUACCUCCUGCUUCAAACCUCGUACGGACUUCAGUCACAUCACCAGACGCCAAAAGGAUUGUCCAGUGCUUAUGGACUCUGAGAUUGAGGAGGCCCGGGAGACAGAGCGCAUAGAAAAGGUCCAGUCCUACCAGUUGGUCCGAGAGAAUCUCCUGAAGCAGCGUGAAGAGCUGACACUACAAAGGAAAGAGCUGAUGAGAUGUCAGCUGGAGAUGCAUGAGAACAUGCAGGCUACCAUGAGGCAGAGAUAUGAGAAACUACAUGCAUUUUGCAAAGAAUUUAAUAGUCGUCAGAAGGCACUCAUGAAAAAGGAACAAGAAGAGGAACCAGCUCUGGAAGACGCCCAGCCGGCACCUCAAGAAAAAACAACCCCCACCCCUGCUGCCGAUCAGCAGCCCAAACAACCUGCCAAGACUGCUGGCAAGAAGAAGAUAAAAUAAGAUAAGAUAAGAUAAAACUUUAUUAAUCCCGAAGGAAAUUCUUGUGUCAGAGGUAUCAAGUUACAUUAAAUGCAGUACAG